rnacentral:snRNA from 1 species
UGUGAGGGCAAUCUGGCUGUGAUAUCUGUCACCCCAUUGAUCUCCAGGGUUGAUUCAGCUGAUCUGGCUGGCUAGACAGAAUUUUUGUUGUUUGAUACAAU